UACGGGGGGUGCAAGCGUUAUUCGGAAUUACUGGGCGUAAAGAGCGCGUAGGCGGUCCUUUAAGUCGGGUGUGAAAGCCCGAGGCUCAACUUCGGAAGUGCACUUGAAACUAAUGGACUUGAGUAUGGGAGAGGGAAGUGGAAUUCCUGGUGUAGCGGUGAAAUGCGUAGAUAUCAGGAGGAACAUCGGUGGCGAAGGCGACUUCCUGGACCAAUACUGACGCUGAGGCGCGAAGGCGUGGGGAGCAAACAGG
rnacentral:rRNA from 1 species